GACGUAGGGCGCGAGCGUUUGUCCGGAUUUAUUGGGCGUAAAGAGCUCGUAGGCGGCUUGUCGCGUCGUCCGUGAAAACCCACAGCUCAACUGUGGGCUUGCGGUCGAUACGGGCAGGCUAGGAGUUCGGUAGGGGAGACUGGAAUUCCUGGAUGUAGCGGUGAAAUGCGACAGACUAUCAGGAGGGAACACCGGUGGCGAAGGCGGGUCUCUUGGGCCGAUA
rnacentral:rRNA from 1 species